UGGACAGAUUAUUGUAUUCGACUGUAUUAACGGCGUGAAACAGGGGAUUACACUGUCUUUAAACGGAAAGUGAAUCAAUUAACAUAAUAGACUCCU
rfam:Nicotiana attenuata strain TT scaffold02138, whole genome shotgun sequence.